rnacentral:rRNA from 1 species
GAUGAACGCUGGCGGCGUGCCUAAUACAUGCAAGUCGAGCGAACAGACGAGGAGCUUGCUCCUCUGACGUUAGCGGCGGACGGGUGAGUAACACGUGGAUAACCUACCUAUAAGACUGGGAUAACUUCGGGAAACCGGAGCUAAUACCGGAUAAUAUAUUGAACCGCAUGGUUCAAUAGUGAAAGACGGUUUUGCUGUCACUUAUAGAUGGAUCCGCGCCGCAUUAGCUAGUUGGUAUGGUAACGGCUUACCAAGGCAACGAUGCGUAGCCGACCUGAGAGGGUGAUCGGCCACACUGGAACUGAGACACGGUCCAGACUCCUACGGGAGGCAGCAGUAGGGAAUCUUCCGCAAAGGGCGAAAGCCUGACGGAGCAACGCCGCGUGAGUGAUGAAGGUCUUCGGAUCGUAAAACUCUGUUAUUAGGGAAGAACAAAUGUGUAAGUAACUAUGCACGUCUUGACGGUACCUAAUCAGAAAGCCACGGCUAACUACGUG